CUGAGUAUGAAACUCCGGGGGCCGACCUCCAAGCUUUUCGUGAGUUUCAGCGUGAAUAUUCAAGUAUCAUCCUAUAAACCAAGCAUCAUUAGAUGAGACCGCUAUAGUUUUUCAUUCAUCCCAAUACAAAGGGUGAUCAGUGAUGCUGCAUUUGGCAUGCAUAGAUAAAGGAUAGCCUAAAAAAGGGGUAAAUCCCAAUAUAGAUAGAUCAGCCGUGAAACAUUGAGUUGAGGUUCGAAUUUGACCUGCAUAUUUUCACUCCAACCAGAUUUUGCU
rnacentral:lncRNA from 1 species